UUCUUGAUUUUUUGAGUUGCUGCUUUGUAUUUUAUCCAUAUCGGUUUAAAUUAAAUAUGACCCACCAACCGUUUUAGAAUUUCUUUCAUAUUUUUUCUCUAACAAACCCCCUCUCUUUAGCUACAUUCAACCUCUGUCAUCGUUGCUUGACCUUUUUCUGCCUUUUCUCUGGUUGUUUUGAUAUUUACUUCAAUGGGUUCUCUUGACAUUUAAAAGAAAACCUUCCAAAAGUUACCCUUGUGUGUGCGUGUGUGUGUGUUAAAGGGUAAUGGGUAUCCAAAAAUUAGUACAGCACACGCAUAUAUAUAUAUAUAUAUAUAUAUAUAUUUUUUUUUUUCAUAAGCUAUCCAAAAGUUACUAUUUCUUCUCAUUGCACUAAUCCCAUUCUCUAUAUAUAAUACAUUAAGUGUGUGUGUGGUUGUCUGCAUUCAAUCGAUCAAUCUCUUUGAGCACCAUUGCUUGAAAAGUUCUCUCUUUCCAUUUCAAUCUUGUCUUCAAACGUGUAGUUUGGAAUCCAAACAGGACACAAUCAUUACAUCAACCACCAAUUUGAAACAUUAUCAUCUCACUAAUCCACUCUUUUUUUUCCUCUUCGACCAGCAUUUCUUGAUUUUGAUUUUCUUUUUAAUUGUAUAGUUUUGUUGGUUUUUUUUUUUUAAUCUUCUGUUCAAAUGGUUAGUGUUGGUAUGGUGAGGAAUUCAACAAUGAUUUGUGCUCCAUUGAUGAGUCAAUCCAUCGAGCAGAUGGAGAGUGAUAUGCAUCAGGCCAAGAAACAAGGUGCUGAUGUGGUUGAGAUCAGGCUGGACUGUAUAAACAAUUUCCGGCCGCGCCAAGACCUGGAAAUCCUCCUCAAGAACAAGCCUCUGCCAGUUAUUAUCACAUACAAGACAAAAAGGGAAGGCCGUCUGUCUGGGGCUGAUGAACACACGCAGUUGGAAGUGCUUCAUUUAGCUAAAAAACUGAGAGCAGAUUAUAUUGAUUUGGAGCUUGAGGUAGCUGCUGACUUGAUGGAGAAACAUAAACUGAACCAGCGUAGAGGUAGCAAAGUAAUUGUAUCAUGUUAUGUGGAAAGUGCUACCCCUUCGAAAGAAGAUCUCAGCCAUCUUGUUGCACGCAUGCAAUCAUUUGGAGCAGAUAUCAUUAAACUUGUGACCAGUGCAACUGAUAUUACAGAAAUAGCAAGAAUUUUUCAUUUGCUUUCGUGUUGUCAGGUACCGAUAAUUGCAUACACUAUUGGGGACAGAGGUCUUAUAAGUCAGAUAGUUGGCCCAAAAUUUGGUGGUUUUUUAGUUUAUGGAUCUAUUGAAGGAAAUCCAGUGCCUGGACUACCUACUUUAGUCACCCUUAGACACAUUUAUGAGGUAAACAAUAUAAAUGCAGAUACUAAAGUUUUUGGGCUCAUCUCAAAACCAGUAAGCCAUAGCAAAGGCCCUAUUUUGCAUAAUCCUACCUUCAGACAUGUGGGCUACAAUGGAGUCUAUGUCCCUAUGCUUGUUGAUGAUCUGAAGGAGUUCUUUAGAGUCUACUCGAGCCCUGACUUUGCUGGUUUCAGUGUUGGAAUUCCAUACAAGGAAGCUGUAAUUGGGUUUUGCGACGAAGUUCAUCCACUUGCUCAGUCCAUAGGUGCUGUUAAUACUAUUAUAAGGCGGCCUAAUGAUGGGAAGCUGGUUGGCUAUAAUACAGAUUGUGAGGCUUCAAUAACUGCUAUUGAGGAUGCUCUAAAAGUUAGACGCACUAAUGGGGAAGGAUCACUUCAAUCUCCGCUCGCUGGGAAAUUGUUUGUGCUGGUAGGUGCUGGGGGUGCAGGAAGAGCACUGGCAUUUGGUGCUAAAAGCAGGGGAGCAAGGGUUGUCAUAUUUGACAUUGAUUUUGAUAGGGCGAAGGAUCUUGCUCGUGCAGUGUCCGGUGAAGCUCAGCCUUAUGAAGAUUUAGUUAAGUUCCAGCCAGAGAAAGGUGAGCUUGGGGGAUUACCAACUUGUCUUCGAUUCUGUUUACACACCUAGAAAAACCAGGCUAUUAAAAGAAGCUGAGGCUGCUGGAGCCAUCACUGUGAGUGGAGUUGAAAUGUUCCUCCGUCAGGCCAUUGGCCAGUUCAAUCUCUUCACUGGCAGCGAAGCACCUGAUGAUUUCAUGCGGAACAUCAUUCUGAGGGAGUUCUGAUGCAUGAGAUAAUAUUGUAAACAUUAGUUCUUGUAUAAUUUGUUUAUCAAUCAUUUCUUGAUUGGAACAACAAUGAUAAAGCUAAUAAAUCAGGCUUGAGAUGAUUAUGAUGGCACUUUAGUCUUUACAUCUCAUUUUGGAGAC